rnacentral:rRNA from 1 species
CCUACGGGUGGCAGCAGUGAGGAAUAUUGGUCAAUGGGCGGGAGCCUGAACCAGCCAAGUCGCGUGAGGGAAGACGGUCCUAUGGAUUGUAAACCUCUUUAGGCGGGGAGCAAUGCCGGGCACGCGUGCCCGGCGGGAGAGUACCCGCAGAAUAAGCAUCGGCUAAAUCCGUGCCAGCAGCCGCGGGAAUACGGAGGAUGCGAGCGUUAUCCGGGUUUAUUGGGGUUAAAGGGUGCGUAGGCGGAAUUUUAAGUCCGCGGUAAAAUGGCCGGGCUCAAACCGGGCCGGCCGUUGAAACUGGGGAUCUUGAGUGGGCGAGAAGUAUGCGGAAUGCGUGGUGUAGCGGUGAAAGGCAUAG